rnacentral:rRNA from 1 species
GAGUUUGAUCGUGGCUCAGGACGAACGCUGGCGGCGUGCUUAACACAUGCAAGUCGAGCGAGGCUUCUCCUUCGGGAGAUGUCCUAGCGGCGAACGGGUGAGUAACACGUGGGCAACCUGCCCCUAGCUCUGGGAUAACUCCGGGAAACCGGGGCUAAUACCGGAUACGACCUCGAGCGGCAUCUAUCGAGGUGGAAAGUUUUUCGGCUAGGGAUGGGCCCGCGGCCUAUCAGCUUGUUGGUGAGGUAACGGCCCACCAAGGCGACGACGGGUAGCCGGCCUGAGAGGGCGACCGGCCACACUGGGACUGAGACACGGCCCAGACUCCUACGGGAGGCAGCAGUGGGGAAUAUUGCGCAAUGGGCGAAAGCCUGACGCAGCGACGCCGCGUGAGGGAUGAAGGCCUCGGUUGUAACCUACUUCAGCAGGGACGAAGCGCAAGUGACGGUACCUGCAGAAGAAGCACCGGCCAACUACGUGCCA